AGCUAGUUGGUGGGGUAACGGCCUACCAAGGCGACGACGGGUAGCUGGUCUGAGAGGACGGCCAGCCGGACUGGGACUGAGACACUGCCCGGACUCCUACGGGAGGCUGCAGUAACGAAUAUUCCGCAAUGCACGAAAGUGUGACGGAGCGAUGCCGCGUGCAGGAUGAAGCCCCUCGGGGUGUAAACUGCUGUCAGGGUUUACCAAAAAAAUGAGGAUACCCAAAGGAAGAGACGGCUAACUCUGUGCCAGCAGCCGCGGUAAUACAGAGGUCUCAAGCGUUAAUCGGAGUUACUGGGCUUAAAGGGUGCGUAGGCGGCGCUGUAAGUGCUUUGUGAAAUCCCAUGGCUUAACCAUGGAAUUGCUCGGCAGACUGCAGCGCUUGAGGUUGGUAGGGGUCGCUGGAACUCUAGGUGGAGCGGUGAAAUGCGUAGAUAUCUAGAGGAACGCCAAAGGUGUAGACAGGCGACUGGGCCAAUUCUGACGCUGAGGCACGAAAGCGUGGGUAGCGAACGGGAUUAGAUACCCCGGUAGUCCACGCCCUAAACGAUG
rnacentral:rRNA from 1 species